AGGGAGACCUAAUUCAGGUAUGGGACGAAAAAAAAGUAGUCCCUACCAAGAAUCAAUCCCAAAAGGUCGGAACGAGGUGUGUGGCUUUCAAACUAGGUUCUGGGUUCACACAAGACCUGAAUCAGGAACAAGGGCUAUUAGCUCAGGUGGUUAGAGCGCACCCCUGAUAAGGGUGAGGUCCCUGGUUCGAGUCCAGGAUGGCCCACCUGUACAGGUGGCAAAAACAAAGAAGCGAGGAAUCAGCACCUUAUCUUAUCUAUAUAUAUAUAGGAGAGAAUGCUGGCUCUGAGUAAAGAGUCCAGAGGAACCUUGAAAACUGCAUAGAGCUAGGUGAAAAAGCCAAAAAAGAAGACCGCAA
rnacentral:tRNA from 1 species